GUUUGUUUUGAAGAGGGCAAACAAGCUCCCUCUUCUGAAGACAUUGAGGACGCUUGAGGGCAGAAUCGAACAAAUAAACCUAUUGCCACCAUUGAGUAA